rnacentral:rRNA from 1 species
GACGAACGCUGGCGGCGUGCUUAACACAUGCAAGUCGAGCGGUAAGGCCCUUUCGGGGGUACACGAGCGGCGAACGGGUGAGUAACACGUGGGUGACCUGCCCUCAGCUCUGGGAUAAGCCUGGGAAACUGGGUCUAAUACUGGAUAUGACUCCACGGUGCAUGUCGUGGGGUGGAAAGCCUUGUGCGGCUGAGGAUGGGGCCCGCGGCCUAUCAGCUUGUUGGGGGGUGAUGGCCUACCAAGGCGACGACGGGUAGCCGGCCUGAGAGGGCGACCGGCCACGCUGGGACUGAGACACGGCCCAGACUCCUACGGGAGGCAGCAGUGGGGAAUCUUGCGCAAUGGGCGAAAGCCUGACGCAGCGACGCCGCGUGAGGGAUGACGG